rnacentral:rRNA from 1 species
UACGUAGGGGGCAAGCGUUGUCCGGAAUCAUUGGGCGUAAAGAGCGUGUAGGCGGCUUGGUAAGUCCGCUGUGAAAGUCCAGGGCUCAACCUGGGAACUGCACUCGAAACUGCCUUUCUUGAGUGCCGGAGAGGAAAGCGGAAUUCCUGGUGUAGAGGUGAAAUUCGUAGAUAUCAGGAGGAACACCAGUGGCGAAGGCGGCUUUCUGGACGGUAACUGACGCUGAGACGCGAAAGCGUGGGGAGCGAACAGG